rnacentral:tRNA from 1 species
ACCAGGAUGGCCGAGUGGUUAAGGCGUUGGACUUAAGUUCAAUUGUACGAAUGUACGCGUGGGUUCGGACCCCACUCCUGGUA